GAAUAGUCGCUCAAGGCUACAGACAAUGAAGUAUAAAGACAGUUUCACAGCAAAGUACAAGCUACUCAAUUCCAGGCUUAUAUUCCUACAUGUAAUCAAACAUCAAUUACCCGCACAUGUCAGGUUCUCAUAGUGCUUUUAGAAUCAAGUUUGCCCCAUGUUGAGGUUGUAUAGUUAAUACGGUGGAAGGAGCGUGUAUAUAGGAUGGGGAAAGCACAAAAGAAAAGCGUUGUAAGAUCAUUGAUAGUGCCAUUUUAGCUUCCAGCAUUGCAAAAUUUUGUCCAAUGCAAAUCCGCGGACCUAAGCCAAAUGGAAAAUAUACUCCUUUUCCCUUUGUUGCUUUUGACACGCCUUCAAAAAAUCUCUCUGGAUUGAAUUCCUUAGCAUCAUCACCCCAGAUUUCUCUGUCAUGAUGCAUUAGGAUGAUAGGUAGCUGCACUGUAACUCCAGCCGGUAGAAAUAUCUCUCCUAAUUUGACAUCUUGAUAUACAGCGCGAAUUAGGAAAACUGCGGGUGGGUAUAAUCUUAGGCUCUCAAGCAAAAUCAUAUUAACCUGCAGACCAAAGACAUUUAAAGCACUAGUUCAACAUGUGCCUUUGUCAAGAAACAAAUAUUCUAAACUUCCAUUAACAUGCAACUUAAACUAUAGUAAUAAAAAAAUAAUUAUCGACCCUUUGCUGCUAUCACAUUAUACAUCACAAUAUUUGAUAAAAAAUUCACACUUACAAGUUGAUAACUUACUUAAAAACGUUACCAAGUGCUUAUAAUAAAACUUACAAGUUUGAGGCGAUUCAACCCAUCAAGAUCUGGUUUAUCAUUUCCAAAGACCUGAAAAACUUCUUCUCUGGCGCGCUCUUGCCAAUCUGAAUGUUGACUCAAUAGAACCAUAGCCCACGUAAGUAGAUUCGAAGUUGUCUCUUGUCCAGCAAAAUAGAAUAACUUACACUCUUCGAUAACCUCAUCCACAGACAUUCCAUAUUUCAUAUCUUUGUUUUCUUUAAUUUCUUCAGAAUUUGAUUUCAAUAAUAAACCCAACAAAUCGUCAUGAAUAUACUCUUCUACUUUCAUUGCCAGCAACCGCUUGUUAAUCAUAGACCUCAGGGCAGAUCUCACCUCACUCUCAAUCUGCCUCAUCCUUUUCAUUCUUUUGGUUGGCAAAAAUCUACAUUUAAAAGAUUCUAAUAAACAUCAAUCCUAGUAGAUGAAACACCAGAAGAUUUUAGACAACUUGCAAAAACAGAGAGGUGGAAUAAAAACCUCAUUCCUGGGAGGUACAAUGUUUGUGUAGCUUGCAUCAACAGCUCUCCUUGUUCUUUCUGUAGUUGAAAUAUUUGUCUCCCUUCUGCAUAGCUACUUCCAAAGGCUGUACGUGAAAUGACAUCAGCUGUUAGAGUUCCCAAAUCCGGCCAUACAUCCAACUCGCAUUGCCCCUCAGCAGAAACCAUCUUCUCCCAUUUGCUCAUUAUUUCACUACAACUUAAAUACAUGGCUGGCAGCAUAUCCUGUUUAUAUACAUCAUAAAAAAGGAAGACAAUAGUUGUUAAUACAAUAGAACAAUAACUGACAAUAUAUCUUCCUGCUUGGCACUUGCUAUCAUUCAGAUAGUACUGAUGAAAAUGACACUAUUAGGUUCUAUAUCACGGAGCAACGGAUCGAAAUUUUUUUACUUGAAUUAAAGAAAGUCACCUGGAGCAACAACCUACAUAUAUCAUCAAUAUUUUUCUACUUAAAAUAAAAAAUCUACUAAAUGUUUAAAAACAGCAAUAUGUGCUAAAUACUUUUAUCUAUCAUCAAUCUACAACUUCGAACAAUGUCCCAUGUUCCAUAUAUUAUUUAGCAUAAUAUGUUCAGUUUUAUAUUUGAAUUUUGUAGAUCGCCAAGAUAGCAACAGGGAUGACCUUUAACUUCUCAAGAUGGAAAGCAGGAUUCAUAAUUUUCCGGUGUUUGGCCCAUGUCUCACCCUCAGCACUUACAAGUCCACUUGCGAGCAACUUAAAUAAAGGAUUACCUCCCCUGAGUUUCUGGAAGUUAGAGGUCUUAUUUAAGGCCUCUUUUAUAAGAUUAGGGUCCGUGAUGUAGACUGCUGGUCGUGGCCCUAGCCACACAAAUGACUUCUUGCCUGCAAGAAAGUAUAACAUAAUUAAAGCCAUUAGAAAUUUUCAGUAAAAGGAGGAAGGAAUUGAGGACUAGUUUUCUUUUGCCAAGUUAACUGACUAGCGUUUGUAGUAAACAACUUUGAAAGGGUAGAGUUCAUAUUUUUUGAACAAUUAAGAUGAAAAAAUCACACACGCUUUGCUGGGAGUCUGGGACUACAGACUAGUCUCGCCGAAUGUGAGACAGCUGAGUAAAAAAACAGUACAUUGUCAAACUACAUACAAUAAGUACAGUCCAACUUCCAAUUGAAGCAAGGGUUCCUACUGAAAACUUAAGCAUAGAAACCUUCUAGAUUAACAAUAAGAAAUCUUUUGCUCACUGAUGAAAUAUUCUUGAUGAAUGACGAGCGCAUAUAAGAAAGAAUAUGUGUUUAACAACUUUAAAGAGUAAGAAUAAAAAUCCCUGGAGAAAAUCACCUUCGCGUAAUGCUCUCAAGACCUAGUAGUACAGUAGAUGGGCUUAUAUUCUAACACUCGCCAUAGGUCACUUAACUAGCAAAUUUGCCAUUUACUAAUCACAUGAUGCCUUGCUUUGAAUCAAGUUGGAAAGAUCCCUCAGAUGCGAUCGUGUCAACUAAAAGAUUUCAUUUUCGUAUAUAAGUUUGUCCAUUUAAGCUUGACAAUGACAAGGAUAAAUUACCCUUCCUCUUAAACCUAAAGGUGUUAUGAAAGGGCUUACCAAUAUUAUAUUAUAUAUUCAACAGAUAUGGACACUUGAAGAAUAAAGCUUCCAUGGAUAGUUGGCAGAACCAAAAUUCUUUCAUAAAUGAAAGUUCGGAGUUUCUUUGACAAGAGAUAAAAAUAAGCCGGUCAUGUGUUAACUUAGGUGUGUAAUGUUUCUAUAAUAUUCUGCGCUAAUGAGUGAUUGAGUUGUGCUAUUAGAAAACCGAUGUAUCACAAUGUGUUGUUUCACAUGUAGAUGCUUAAGAACUGAUUAUUAUGCGCAAAUAUGUUUACUUCUGUGGAAUACAGAUGACUUCUCCUUCACUAUGAACAACCAAGGCAGAUGAAUUGAUAUAAUUUGUCACUACUCACUAGGCUAAUCGUCAACUCACAAUUUUAAUGCUACAAUUUGUAAAAAUAUAAUAUACAAUCCAGUUAAAUCCUCCUCCCGACGUCAUAAGAUUUUAGAGAAACUAAUGCUACACCUCCACGUCUGCAAGAGGAGGCAGAAUCUUUUUAGCAUAACAAGUAUGUAUAAACCAUGGGAAAAGUUGGAGACCAUUAUUUUAUUGGAGACAUGCAAAGACCAUCAUAUUUUGUAUAAUAAUAUUUUUGCAAUGUUCAUGUACAAAAGUGGUCUUCAUUCCAAAAAACAGUUUAUGAGCUAAAAACUGCGGUUCAAAAAUGUUGUUUUUAGAUUUACAAAAUAGUUUUUCACAUAAUAAUUUUUUAAUCUAUUUAUUUAACAAAAUUAUUCCUCUGCUAUUGAAAUUAUUUAAAAAUACCCUUUCCGGAAAGUCUAAUUAAAGAAAAUAAAUACUAUACACUUAAUCGAAAGCUAAGAAUUCAAAAUUCAAAAUAGAUGAAAAACUGCUUGAUAUAUAUAAAAACAAUUUUUCAAAACAACAUGUUUUGAUUUUAUGAAAAGCAAGUCCAUGUGGUUUUCCAGCUUUUGCCGGAUUACACUAUCAAAACUCAAUAAAAACAUUUUUAUUAUAUUUUAAGUCAAAGAAAAAAUUAUAAGCUUACAACAUUUUUUUAACAAGGUGUUUUUCUAACACAAGACAAGGUGUUUUUAAUUGGACUUAGAAACAGAACCCGGAUAAAUGAAUGACGAAACGAAAACGCAUACCGUGUUUACUAAUAGCAGUAAAUACAGUUGGAGUAGCGCGAGGUAUAAUAUCGUCAGACAAACUGAUGGGCUUGGACCUGGCCUCUUUCCUAGCGGCAGCGAGUUCUUUAACGUCGCCAUACAAAAGCCUGUAAGGGUUUCCUUUAAAGCCCUGAUUUCUCAGAAUCUUUUCCAGCUUCUUGGGCCUGAUCCAAAUCCAGUUGAGUAGUCUCCAUGCUAACACCACAACGUAUGCCAAAACCAAGCUUCCUAUUACCUUGAAGUAUAUAUCUAACUCCAUCACUGUGUGUAUAGGUAUGUGUAAAAGAAAGAAGGUGAGAGGAUACCAGCGUGAUGUUUGAUGAUUUAGAGUGAGGAGUGAGGACUAAUGGACGAUGAUAUUUAUAUCUGUUUUUGGGGCUGAGAAUGACACUGAUAUUAUAUUUGUUUAGAAAAUUCAACAGAAUUAAUCAAAAAUUGAAUAUCAUCGUAUAUUAAAUAAUCUUAAUUGAAAAUCAUCAAAAUUUUGAGUAUAAAUUAAAAUCCUGAAAAUAUAAUCAAAUUUUAUAGUAUAAUUUAAAUUUUAAUUAAAUAUUUUAAGAUUCUGAUACCGUUUCUAAAAUCCGAAUCGGAUAUAACCAUAUUUGUUGAAGAAAAGUUUGUUUGAUAUUCCGAUUGAAUAUGCCGCUAAAAGCAAACCUGAUCGUGGUAAACUCUUAGAUAAAAAAUAGUUAACAUAUCAAAAAUAAAAAAUAAAAAUAACCUAAUGAAAAUAAGGUACUCCAACCAUAUUUUUUUGUCAAUAAUUUUAGUCAAACUCGUGAGGAUGAUUAUAAUUAUCGAAUCACUACAAAUUUAUAACAAAUGUCACAUUGCCAAUCAUCGUAACAAUAUAUUAUAUUAUAAUAACUUCAAAGAAGAAUAUGUUAUAUUUAAAAUAUAAUGAAUGAAUACAUGAAACAAAAUUUUACAAAUUCAACAAAAUUUACAUGAUAUAUUGAGAUCCAGUUCAACCAAUCAUUAUAACUAACUCAAAAUCAGAGAUGCCGAAAUAAAAUACUAUCUCUGUUCCAACCAUUUUUUAUGAUUUCUUUUUUGUUUCCAUCCAAUUAUUUAAAUUUCAAAAUUACCAAAUAUCAUCAACUGGUCUCACUACUUCUCCACAUUUUUCCUCUUUUCACACGACUUCUACUUCACUAUCUUUCUUUUAUACUGUAAAAUUUAAUUAGUCUUAUCAUUUCAUGCGUUUUUUUUUCUUUUUCUGCUGCUUUAUAUAUAUUUUUUAAACUUCAUGUCAAAAUCAUACAUAAAUAACGGGACGAUAAGUCGAUAACAAACGACAAGCGAGUGAAGUGUUUCCAUGGGUGGGACCGAAUUAAAUAUGUGGGUGUAUACGAUUUGGAAUUUUGUGCUUUGAGGUUAAUGUUGUACUUAAAACGGUUUUUCUGGUGUGCCCAAGGGCACACAGUAAGCACUAAAUUUUAUGAGUUUGGUGCAUUCUUAUUGGUCAUGUAGUCAUAAAUAUGGAUGGCCCCCCUGCAUUUACAAUUUUACACCAAACUCCACCAAUCAAAAUCCAAUAAACCCAUCAAAUUUAGUGCUUAAUGUGGCACUAGAAAGACCCUACUUAAAAUUCUUUUGAAUAAGCAAGCUGUCUGAUUUGAUAUAUUAUGAAAAUUCUACCUUUUGAGUUGUCAGAGUCAUGUUUUGAAAUUAUAUAAUUUCAUUGAUCAUUAUUAAAAUUAUAAAAUUAAUGUUGGGAUAAUGAUUUUUUUCUAGAAUAGUUAAAUUCACAAUUUUUUAUGGAUGUUCUUUUCAAAAUUUUCAUAUUUUGAAAUUCAUAAGGUAUAAUAGAAUUCAUAAGGUAUAAUAGAACUAGGAUGUGUACACUAGUCAGAAUUGGUCCAGUUGAGAGCAUUUUCAUAACCCAAAGGCUCGUUUGGUUUUGAGAUGUGGUUAUAGGUUUGGAUUUUGUCCAUUUCAAAUAGUCAGCAGGAAGGCGGAUAUGAGAUAUAAGUAUGCAAAUAAAUUUAUCUUAGAUACUUUUUCUUUUUUUAAGUAAUUAAAUGUUAAUGUUGGAUAUUAUAAUAAUUGAUGAUACAAAAAUAUAUGAUAAUAAUAUUUUAAUUAAAUAUAAAUUUAUAAUUAAUUUUUAAAAAAUCAAAUAUAUUAUUUUCAGGACUUAACUAAACACAUGAUAUAAAAUAUGAUACUAUUCUUCAUUCCAACCUCAUACCUAUACUAUUGUACGAAUCAAACGAUUAUAUCUGUCACUGUCCAACCCUCUAGUUGAAGUUAGUUUGGGUUAGUUUAGAUGGAUAAUUCAUAAAUAUUUAGAAUUAGAAAAAGUUAUAUAAAAUGCAAUCAAUUAAUUUUACAUGUGUUCUAGAACUUGAUAUUGUCAUUUAUUUAUCAUACUCCCUCUGUCCUAUUUUAGUUGUCACAUUUGGUUUUAUACCGAUCAAAUUGACUAAAAUUUGACUGAAAUUUAUUAAUAUUUUAUUAACUGAUAAAAUUAAAAAAAAAAUAUCAUCGGAAAUAACUUUUAAUCUACUUUAAGAUGUAAUUUUCAGUUUUUUAAAAUAAUGAAAGAGUGAUUCAUAAUUUUUAGUCAAAAUUUAAUCAAUUUGACCAAUAAAAAUAGAAAUUUGACAAUUAAAAUGGGACGGAGGGAGUAUGAUAUAUAUUAAACAUGAAUUUGCAUUUUUAGUCAAGUUUCAGGUGGUUUGUUAUGAUCAUCGAUCAUGACAGUAUUUUCCCUGAACUUGCAGCUUGACGCAUUUGUAAGUAUUUUUGUAACUAUUUUGUUAUAUCACAUACUCCUGUGAAACAAUUAUUUAUUAUAUUUUAUCGUGGCAAAUAAAAAUAUUAUUAUAUUUCAGAUGAAAUAAAUAUUUAUGUGCAUCAUAUUUAUGGAGUUAAUAAUAUAAAUAUAUAAUUUUGAUUUUAAUAUGUUUUUAAAUUCUAGUCUGAAAUUUUUAAUAAUAUAUUAAAUAUAAAAUAUAUAAUAUUUUUAAAUAUAACAAUUCUCACCUAUAUAUUUUAUACAAAAUUUAAUUAAAACAAUCAGAUAUACACAAAAUAUCUGCCAAUAAAUAAAAUUUUAUUUACUUCUUUUUACUUGAUAAAAUUAAAAUAUAAAUACAAACUUAGAUUUGCUAAUGUAUCUAUAUGCUUUUAACAAAAUUUAUGUACCCUGCAUAGGAGAUGAGAGAAAGCAAAAUCAACUCAAGGGACGUUUGAAUUAAGACUGGGAAUGAGAAUCGGGGCUCAUUAAUCAUGAACUAAACAUCACGAAGCAAGUUAACAUAAUAGAUAUACAAAAAUCAAAAUGAGUGACAUAUGCUCUGACGAUCUUUGUCAUUUUCGUUCAUCGAAUUGUAUAGUCAACUUUGGACCAAACCACUACAUAACCACAACAUUACACCAAAAGAAAAAUGAUGGUGCCGGGCCGGUGCCGUUCUUUGAUUUUUAUCUAAUAAUACACGGGCUGAAGUAAUCUUAAGAAAAUAUUUGUUACUUAUAAUAAUAGAUUAAUUAUAAAUGAAAAAUAAUUUUAUUUCAUAUGUUUUAAUAAUUUUUUUGAUGUUUACACCUUAUUAGGUAUAAAAAUUAUUAAUACAAUAACAAAUUAUUAUAGAUUAUCUUUUUUAAAGUGAUAUUCUGCAUAUUUGUAAAAUCAAAUUUUAAAACCAAAAAUAAUACACAAAAAAAUUAGAAUUUUCAACUUCAUUUAUAAAUUGAAAAUUAAUUUAUAAAUAAGUUGGCAAGUGCCGGCUAAACGCUAAAUAAAUUUCUGUGCCCAUGACACCACAGAAAAACUGACAAAAUAAGCUGCUUCUGGUCGGGCUUAACACCCUCGUGAUACCUUCUAUUUCAUUCCAACAAGUUGUCCAUAGACCGGGUCAGUGAAUGAACAAUGAUCCAGUAAAUGGAGGCAGAGACCAGACCGUAGAUAAGGAUCUGGAAAGAUAUACUCAUGAUGUCCUAGCCGGGACUGGUCUGAACCUUCAAUUCUUGUUGGGUGAGUGAACCAUCUUCCUUCGCCAUUAUCCCUUUAUUCAAACAAACAGUGCCUCACUUAUUGUAUCACUUACUAUUUCAUUCCAACAAGUUGUCUGGUUAGCUAAUCCAGACCAUACUGUUAAAAUCACAAAUAUUUAACACGAGGUUUGUCAUAUAUAUAUCUACAUUGCUACAAGAUUUAUUUUCCAUUAUUUAUACUGAAUAGUCGCUCAAGGCUACAGAUAAUGAAGUAUAAAGACAGUUUCACAGCAAAGUACAAGCUACUCAAUUCCAGGCUUAUAUUUCUUCAUGUAAUCAAACAUCAAUUACCCGCACAUGUCAGGUUCUCAUAGUACUUUUAGAAUCAAGUUUGCCCCAUGUUGAGGUGGUAUAGUUAGGACGGUGGAAGGAGCGUGUCUAUAGGAUGGGGAAAGCACAAAAGAAAAGCGUUGUAGAUCAUUGAUAGUGCCAUUUUAGCUUCCAGCAUUGCAAAAUUU
rnacentral:lncRNA from 1 species